rnacentral:lncRNA from 10 species
GUGAUUUCAGUUACCCACCCUCAACCACAGUCUAAAAGUAGGUUGGAGUGCCAUGGGGAUUGUAGCUCACUGCAACCUCCACCUCCUGGGUUCAAGCGAUUCUCCUGCCUCAGCCUCCUGAGUAUCUGGGAAUACAGGCAUGCACCACCAGACCCAGCUAAUUUUUGUAUUUUUGGUAGAGACGGGGUUUCACUGUAUUGACCAGUCUGGUCUUGAAUUUCUGACCUCAAGUGAUCUGCCUGCCUCAGCCUCCCAAAGUGCUGGGAUUACAGGCAUGAGCCACCUUGCCCAGCCUAGUCUUCAGACAAUGUCUAAAGGGAAUCACCAUGCAGACUCCGGGACCCUCCCUCUCUGGGUAGCCCCCUCAUCUCGGGUACUCUGAACCUCAAGUACCGGCUGCCUUUGCCUCCCCAGACUCCACACUGUAUCCUCACCUCGGUGACACCCCAUCCUGCACUUGGGUCCCCCUCCCUGUCCCCUCUUCUCUUGGAGAUUACAAUCUUUGCUGCUUGUUUUCCCAUGUCUGGAAGAAGUUGUUUCACAGUCAUUGUCCAGUUUUCUGGUUGUUUAUUCCAGAAGAGCAAGUUCAGUACCAGUGCCUCCAUCAGGGCCAGAGGCAGAACUCUGCAGCCUGCGUUCCACGGGGCAGAGAACUCAAUGGAUUCUAUUCAGAGAAUCUCAGAGUGAGUCAAAGUUAGAUGACACCUUCUGGAUAUAAUCGAAACUUAACAGAAUGUGGGAAAAUCGUUUUUUUUUCUAAUGAAACAUGUGUUAGAACAUGGCCCUGGGACAGCAGAGGCUCACCACACUCCACCAGCAGAAUGAUUGGAGACGAG